rnacentral:rRNA from 1 species
GAUGAACGCUAGCGGGAGGCCUAACACAUGCAAGCCGAGCGGUAUUUGUCCUUCGGGACCGAGAGAGCGGCGUACGGGUGCGGAACACGUGUGCAACCUGCCUUUAUCUGGGGGAUAGCCUUUCGAAAGGAAGAUUAAUACCCCAUAAUAUAUCGAAUGGCAUCAUUCGAUAUUGAAAACUCCGGUGGAUAGAGAUGGGCACGCGCAAGAUUAGAUAGUUGGUGAGGUAACGGCUCACCAAGUCAGUGAUCUUUAGGGGGCCUGAGAGGGUGAUCCCCCACACUGGUAAUGAGACACGGACCAGACUCCUACGGGAGGCAGCAGUGAGGAAUAUUGGACAAUGGGUGAGAGCCUGAUCCAGCCAUCCCGCGUGAAGGACUAAGGCCCUAUGGGUUGUAAACUUCUUUUAUACUGGGAUAAACCUACUUACGUGUAAGUAGCUGAAGGUACAGUAUGAAUAAGCACCGGCUAACUCCGUG